ACCCGCAUGAAAGCAAACACAUGAGUCUGUCCAGAUGGAGUGCCGUGCUUCUCGUUGGCAGGUUUCUCCGGCAUUUCGGUACUAAGUUGGAAAUAGCUCCAGCUUCACUGAUUUCUGGGGUACACUGACUGCUUUACCCACAUUCAGUUCUCUGCUCCCAGGCUGUGGUCUGCUGCCACCGUGGCCUUGUCAGCAGGAGAAAGGUACACGGGUUAGAGGCAACCUCGGUGACACCAGAAGUUCAGUUUUGUUUGUGAUGCUUCUGACAGUGAUUCUCUGUAAGAUCCUCAGUGCGGCAUAGACUGAAAUGGUUCUGAUUUUCAUUGCAUUUUGUGACUCAGAGGGAAUGAGCAGGCCAGAGAGUCCUUUCCUCCAGAGAGUCCUUUCAUCUCAUCUCCUCUGUCUAGUCGUCUUUGCCUUUCAGCUAAUAUUUCAUAUAUUUCAUAGAAAUAAGCAUUAUUGCAUUUCAUGCUGUAUUUAGACAUUCCGGUGGGGGCAUGC
rnacentral:lncRNA from 1 species